rnacentral:rRNA from 1 species
CCUACGGGAGGCAGCAGUGAGGAAUAUUGGUCAAUGGGCUGACGCCUGAACCAGCCAAGUCGCGUGAGGGAAGACUGUCCUAUGGUUUGUAAACCUCGUUUGUCAGGGAGCAACGCCGGCUACGUGUAGCCGGACUGAGAGUACCUGAAGAAAAAGCAUCGGCUAACUCCGUGCCAGCAGCGGCGGUAAUACGGAGGAUGCGACCGUUAUCGGGAUUUAUUGGGUUAAAAGGUUGCGUAGGCGGAAUGCUUAGUCAGCGGUAAAAUCGCGGGGCUCAACCCCGCUCCGCAGUUGAAACUGGCAUUCUUGAGUGGGCGAGAGGUAUGCGGAAUGCGAGGUGUAGCGGUGAAAUGCAUAGAUAUAGCGCAGAACUCCGAUUGCGAAGGCAGCAUACCGGCGCCCAACUGACGCUGAGGCACGAAAGCGUGGGUAUCGAACAGGAUUAGAUACCCCUGUAGUC